AAUGGAGGAAACUCUGAUGCAGCGAUGCCGCGUGAGUGAAGAAGGCCUUUGGGUUGUAAAGCUCUUUCGUCGGGGAAGAAAAUGACGGUACCCGAAUAAGAAGGUCCGGCUAACUUCGUGCCAGCAGCCGCGGUAAUACGAAGGGACCUAGCGUAGUUCGGAAUUACUGGGCUUAAAGAGUUCGUAGGUGGUUAAAAAAGUUGGUUGUGAAAUCCCGAAGCUUAACUUCGGAACUGCAAUCAAAACUUUUUAGCUAGAGUAUGAUAGAGGAAAGCAGAAUUUCUAGUGUAGAGGUGAAAUUCGUAGAUAUUAGAAAGAAUACCAAUUGCGAAGGCAGCUUUCUGGAUCAUUACUGACGCUGAGGAACGAAAGCAUGGGUAGCGAAGAGGAUU
rnacentral:rRNA from 1 species